rnacentral:rRNA from 1 species
AAUGAACGCUGGCGGCAUGCCUAACACAUGCAAGUCGAACGAAGGCUUCGGCCUUAGUGGCGCACGGGUGCGUAACGCGUGGGAAUCUGCCCUCAGGUUCGGAAUAACAGCGAGAAAUUGCUGCUAAUACCGGAUGAUAUCGCGAAAUCAAAGAUUUAUCGCCUGAGGAUGAGCCCGCGUAGGAUUAGCUAGUUGGUGUGGUAAAGGCGCACCAAGGCGACGAUCCUUAGCUGGUCUGAGAGAAUGAUCAGCCACACUGGGACUGAGACACGGCCCAGACUCCUACGGGAGGCAGCAGUGGGGAAUAUUGGACAAUGGGCGAAAGCCUGAUCCAGCAAUGCCGCGUGAGUGAUGAAGGCCUUAGGGUUGUAAAGCUCUUUUACCCGGGAUGAUAAUGACAGUACCGGGAGAAUAAGCUCCGGCUAACUCCGUGCCAGCCGCCGCCGUAAUAC